rnacentral:rRNA from 1 species
GUGAGGAAUUUUCCGCAAUGGGCGAAAGCCUGACGGAGCAAUGCCGCGUGAAGGAUGAAGGCCUAUGGGUUGUAAACUUCUUUUCUCAGAAAAGAAUUAUGACGGUAUCUGAGGAAUAAGCAUCGGCUAACUCUGUGCCAGCAGCCGCGGUAAGACAGAGGAUGCAAGCGUUAUCCGGAAUGAUUGGGCGUAAAGCGUCUGUAGGUUGUUUAAAAAGUAUUCUGUCAAAGAUUAGGGCUUAACCCUAGAUAGGCAGAAUAAACUUUUAAGCUAGAGUUUGGUAGAGGCAGAGGGAAUUCCCGGUGGAGCGGUGAAAUGCGGAGAUAUCGGGAGGAACACCAAAGGCGAAGGCACUCUGCUGGGCCAAUACUAACACUGAGAGACGAAAGCGAGGGGAGCAAAUGGGAUUAGAAACCCCUGUAGUCC